GAUUCUGGAUAGCUCAGUUGGUUAGAGUGUGGUGCUUCUAAUGCCAAGGUUGCAGCGGGUUGGGCUAGAUGACCCUCAGGGUCC